GCGCAGGCGCGGAAUCUCCGACUCGCCAUGGUCGUCUUUGUCUGCUGGCCUGCUUCCUUGUACAUCCACAGGAGCUGCAAAACCUCUUAGAGUUCUAAGGGCCCUCCCUGAAUUUUGGGAUGCUGCUUUGUUCCCCAACCAUAACAUCCAAGUCCAGUGUCAUUUUUCUGCUCACAAGUUUAAAGUCAGCACUUAAAAGAACAGCAACAGAUGAUUGAGAAAGAAAUGUAAAGAAGGUUCUCUUUGUGUGAGUAAGCAAGAACCUGGUAGGUAUGAAUGAGAUAAAGACUUAUUGCAGUUAUUCAGUGAGAAUUUGCAGCCUCUGAGUUG
rnacentral:sRNA from 1 species